ACUAAACUGGAAAUUAUACAGAAAAAGUCCGCUGUGUGGUUGACGUACUUUACAUUAGCAAUGGAGAGCUGUGACAAAACUUGAGUAGCAGGUACUGUACCAGGGAGGAGAAUUAUUAGGAAGCUGGCCAUUGGGAGUCAUCGUUUCAGUUUGGGUCGUCGGUGUGAGAUUUCAAUCUUUAGUUCUCACCACAACGCUGUAUAUGAGAAUCAUCCUUGAGGAUUCUG